AAACAACUGAUCGGGGCUGGGGAGAUGGCUCAGCUGUUAAGAGCACUAACUACUCUUCCAGAGGACCCAGGUUCCAGUCUAAGCACCUAUAUGUUGACACAAUCAUCUAUCUGUAACUCCAGUUGCAGGGGAUACAGUGCCCUUUUCUGACCCAUAAACAUAUAUAGAGGCAAAACAUCUUCACACAUAAAACUUUAAUGUGUGUGUGUGUGUGUGUGUGUGUGUGUGUGUAUGGCUCUCGUUAAUUAUGUGACUGUGUGUGUGGAUGGAGAUGCACACAUGAGUAUACCAGCAGAGGUCACAGGUGGCGGAUUCCCUAAGGCUAGACGCACAGGCAGUUGUGAGCCUCCUGACAUGGCUACUUGGAAGUGAACUUGGGUCCUCUCCAAGAGUAGCCCAUGAGUGUCCCUGCUGAGUCCUCUCUGCAGUCCUCCUGCCUAGGUCUCAUUCGCGGUGUUCUCAUGUCACAAGGGAGUCCUACACCUUUGCUGCACUUUGUGUGGUGGGUUCUACUGCCUCCCUUGCAGCUGCCUUCAUCUCUCCUUUCUCGAGUGUCCCAGGGGCAAACAUGAGCCUUUUGUGUGUCUUUGAUCUCCACUCUUGUCAUUCAGCCUCAUACAGGUCUCUCCCCAGGGGCAGAAAGCGGAAGUUCACGUGUGAUCGGGAUAUGAUGAGAUGGGGCCAGGUGGGACAUCUUCUCUGUUCUAUUGUUGGAGCUGUGAAGAGGUAUGUGUGUGUGGGGGGGGAGGAGGGUUUGUCAAUACCAGAGGUUGAACCCAGAGUCUCACAGAUGUUAUUCACAAACCACACUGCACUCCCAUUUCCAAAAUGUAGGAUACCAAGCAGGUGCUCUACCACUGAGCUAUAGGCAUGCCCUGUGCUAUAACACUGAACCACACACCCAGACUUUACCAAAGCACCUGUCUAGAAUCCUCCAGUGAGGGGCUGGUUGUGGCUCAGUGUUAGAGCACCUGCCUAGAAUCCCCCAGUGAGGGGCUGGGGGCGUGGCUCAAUGGUAGAGUCCCUGCCUAGAAUCCCCCAGGGAGGGGCUGGGGGCGUGGUUCAGUGGUAGAGCCCCUGCCUAGAAUCCCCCAGUGAGGGGCUGGGGUGUGGCCCAGUGGUAGAGCCCCUGCCUAGAAUCCCCCAGUGAGGAGCUGUGGGCGUGGCUCAGUGGUAGAGUGCUUGUGUACUACAUGCAAGACCUUGGGUUCCAUUCCUAGUACUGCAAAGAAAACAGGAGGAGAAUGGACAUUAUAAAGAUUCACAUCAGAGUUUAUGAAUGGACCACAGUGAACCAGCCACCCUAGGUGCCAUCUAAUCUAUGUGAACUCUGACAGACAUUCUGACCUGAUAUGUCAUCAGAACACUGCCCAAAAGUUCAUUGCAGUAACCUUGAGUGCUUCUUAGCCCUGGUGGUCUCUCAGACAGUCCUGGAUAGGAAUGCCUUGGACAGCAUGGAGCAGUGCUGGUCGGGAGGUUUGCAGUGUAUCCCUAGGGGCAUUGACUGAUCGUUUUCUUUUCAUUACCCUGAGCUACAUUUGAUGUUUUCAUUUAUUGUUGUCAUUAUUCCAUUUUAGUCUAGAUUGUUGCAGUUUCAGGCACACAAUCCUGUGCAAGAAAGAAAGGAAGGAAGGAAGGAAUAAAGAAAAUAACUUUAUAAAGCAAAGAAGGAGCCAGCAAAUUGCCUAAAAGUACUUGCUGACAUGACUGUUAAACUUCCAGGCUGUCUACUGUGGGAGGAGAGACCUGAUGUUGUCUUCUGUGUUCUCUCUCUCUCUCUCUCUCUCUCUCUCUCUCUCUCUCUCACACACACACACACACACACCAUACAUGUAAUUUUAAAAGUUAAAAGAAAAAAAAAAAAGAAAAUUGGCAUGUUAUUUAAUCCCAGCACUGAGGAGGUUUAAACAGGAGGAUCAGGAGUUCAAAGCCAGCCUGUGGCUAUGAGACCUUUUUUCAAAAUCAAGUAAGCUGGACAUGUUGACAUGACUUAGGCCUCUAAUCCCAGUAAUGAAGAGGCAGAGGCAGGCAGAUCUCUGUGAGUUCAAGGCCAGCCUGGUCUACAGAGCAAGUUCCAGGACAACUAAGGGGACAUAGUGAGACCUUGUCUUUAAAAAGCAAAAACAAAACAAAAAGAAGACCUACAGCAUACCCCCCCCCCAAACAACCAAAUACCUAGCCUAGUACCUCAGCUGUUAGCAUAAUGGUUUAGUAUGCCUAGGGUCCUAGGUUCAUCCCCCAGGCAUGGUAGCACGCAGCUGUGAUCCAAGCAUUUAGGAUGUGUAGGCAAAGGAUGGGUAGUUUAAG
rnacentral:lncRNA from 1 species